UGUAAGCGUAUACCAAAGUUGUUGCAGUUAAAACGCUCGUAGUCGGAAUUUGGCAGUUCCGGAUGUGUGCACGUCGUGUGCGCACUUCGCGGGGAUUGCUUUUGUGGUCUUGCGUAGGAUGAGGCACUUUUAUUAGUGAACGUCCUCACGCAACCACUUUUUACUGUGAGAAAAUCGGAGUGCUCAAAGCAGGCAUUUGCCGUGAAUGUAUUAGCAUGGAAUAAUAGAAUAGGACUUGGUUCUAUUUUGUUGGUUUGUUGGGACUGAGUAAUGAUUAAGAGGGACAGUUGGGGGCAUUUGUAUUUCGGUGCUAGAGGUGAAAUUCUUAGAUUACCGAAAGACAAACUGCUGCGAAAGCGUCUGCCAAGGAUGUUUUCAUUGA
rnacentral:rRNA from 1 species